CUGCUGCCUUCCGUAGGAGUUUGGGCCGUGUCUCAGUCCCAAUGUGGCCGUUCACCCUCUCAGGCCGGCUACUGAUCGUCGCCUUGGUGGGCUGUUACCCCGCCAACAAGCUAAUCAGACGCGGAUCCAUCGUAUACCACCGGAGUUUUUCGCACCGUCUCAUGCGAGACUGUGCGCUUAUGCGGUAUUAGCACCUAUUUCUAAGUGUUAUCCCCCAGUAUACGGCAGGUUAUCCACGCGUUACUCACCCGUCCG
rnacentral:rRNA from 1 species